GUGGACUUAGCUCAAUGGUAGAGCACCUUGCAUGCACUGAGGGUGCAGGUUUGAGUCCUGUAGUCCAAA
rfam:Puccinia sorghi strain RO10H11247 Scaffold_15613, whole genome shotgun sequence.